AUGUUAUCAAUUUUUGUGAUGUGUUGCAUUUCAGCCUUCCUCCUUCUUUUUCUUCAUUCCAGUAUCUUGAGAUAUAUAAGCGUUGCGUUGCGAUUUCAUUUGGUUUCCUUUUAUUCUUAUUGUUAGUUUAUCUCGCGCUUGAAAUUACCAAAAUUUUUACAUUGAGAUUUUAGGUGACGGCGUAAUUGUUAGAAUAUCGUAUUCGAAUUUCUCAUUCCCACUCCCUGCAAUCUAAUUCAUCUAUUAUGACCGCCUUUUCUUUCACCUAACCGCGCUUAUGCACUUAUUCCACUUAUUCCAACUGCUCUCGUCAUCUCAAGUUCUUCCUGUUUUCGGUAUUCGAUCUAGUUUUUACGGAGCGAGUAGCGAUGCAGAUACCAGCCUGCAAGCCAGUCUGUCUCACCGUUCGUAGAGAUUGCAAGUUCGCGUUGUCCAGCCUUAGUUUUCCUUGGCCGCACAUGCUAGAUUGCGAAAGAAUUCCCGACGGUAUAACUACACUCUGUUAAUAUUUUAAUCUAUGAAAUAUCGUCACAGAAAUAUGCGCUAGGAAUAUUUGACAACUUCCGUCAACCCUUGCUGAUCUACGCUCUGCGUGCAGUCAAUUACGGACGAGAUUUUAACGUCGGCUGAUCAAGUAUCGGCAUCGAUACCGUCUCUCUAGCCAUUGAUCCAAGAUUCCCCAGCAGUGGACCGCGUUGCAGCUGGUGCAAGCACCUUAGCCGAUAAUACCAGUUCGAGGGAACAACCUGCACCAUCAUCAGUACCCAUCUCACUUCGUUCAAACGUCUGACGUCAAAAUGAUAACCUGCUAACGUUCUGGAUCGAACCGUCUAGAUUUCGCUACCUGGAACAGCCAAUAGUGUUUUUGGCUCUCUGCUUACAACCUGUUUUUGAUCGCUUGCACGAUUCGGGGCGCGGUUGGACCGGAAAAUUUGAGCUGCGCCACUCAAGAGACCGGACCCAGCUACGUUCCGAUGGAAAUUGCGACCUGCACCUUUCCCGCCGCACGACAAAUGCAUACUCGAGACGCCUCGGUGAAAUGCUUGUACCAGGCAUAAUAUGACAUGUAUCCUAAUGAAAAAAUUCGAGAAGACUGUUGAAAUACAUAACAAUAAACCCUG
rnacentral:lncRNA from 1 species